CGUCGCUGCCGCUUCCCGAGGGGAACGGCAGACUGGGGCUCACCGCCCCGGACCGAAGAACAUACAAGCGCUGGCCCACCAUCGAUAGGGCGCCAGCCCAACAAGAAAUUUCGGAUGUACGCAUGCGCCAGGACGACGCAUGAAUCCCC
rnacentral:sRNA from 2 species